GCGGAAAGAUUGUAAGAGCCAGAGGUGG
rnacentral:piRNA from 1 species